ACGUAGGAGGCGAGCGUUAUCCGGAUUUACUGGGCGUAAAGCGCGUGCAGGCGGUGCGAUAAGUUCGUUGUGAAAGCGCCCAGGCUUAACCGGGCGAGGACAAUGAAGACUGGUCAGCUAGAGGACGGUAGAGGGGUGUGGAAUUCCCGGUGUAGCGGUGAAAUGCGUAGAGAUCGGGAGGAACAUCCGUGGCGAAGGCGGCCAUCUGGACCAGCACUGACACUGAGGCACGAAAGCGUGGGGAGCAAACAG
rnacentral:rRNA from 1 species